ACUUGUGCUCUUCCGAUAUACCAUGAUCACGAAGGUGGUUUUCCCAGGGCGAGGCUUAUCCACUGCGCUCCGGAUGUGCUGACCCCUGCGAUUUCCCCAAAUGUGGGAAACUCGACUGCAUAAUUUGUGGUAGUGGGGGACUGCGUUCGCGCUUUCCCCUGGAAAAAAAA